CAACCAGUUUUAGGUAAUUCUCAUGAAACUAAAAACCCAGGCUCCAUAGGAUGGUGACAUAAAAGUUAUAAUGGGAUCAAAUCUGUGGCGUGAAUACAGAUCUUCUCCUCACUCCUAAUAUCAUGUUUGUAAUUUGUAUUUUGGUUGGAAAGAGUAAUAUGACUAAGAAAAACAGUUAUUCAACUAGUCCAGCUAUCUCUAGGUCUAGAUUUACACAAUAAGGAAAGACUGUUGUGUAAAAGGAUCAGCUAAUUUCUUGAGGGGGGAGGAGAAGGAUCCUCCAGCUGUAUUUGCCUUAGUCAUUAGUUCAAACAUCCCAUUUAUGUAACAUCAUUCCCUAGCUCAUCCGUAAGAGAGACACUGUUGAUUUUGGCUGCGAGCUUAGAGUUGGACAGACAUUGCCACUUGAUCUAAGCAGCUGUCUCCUUGCUAUUCCCUCUGACUUCAUUAUCAUGGACAGAAGCAUGAAUUCAUAAUAGAUCCGCAACAUGUGCCCCAGUACAUAAAAACAGACAUAUGACUCAUCUGAUAACAUCACUGUUUUAAAAGCCAUCCAGAGAGGAUGAAGCAGGGAGGAGUGAAGUUUCCUUAGGGAAGACAGUUGAUUGUUGCAGGAAAUGGGGAGGGAGAGGAUGCCUCUUCUAUUGCAGCAUCUCAUGAUUAGGAAAGUCUAUCCAGGAAGAUGAUCUCUUUUGAAAAAUGGUUUAGCAGCUUGGCUCUCGCUGUGUCUUAUCGUGGACCUGUUUUGGAUGACUGCACCCUCUUCGGACUUUGGAUUGAAUUUGACCUGGCUUCUGUCUACACCCUCUGACUGACGGCUACUCCCGGCUUCUGUCUACACCCUCUGACUGACGGCUACUCCCGGCUUCUGACUAUUGGUUUGUCUUUCGGUAUUUCUGCUGCCUCCCGACCUGACCUUGGAUUCUUCUGACGACGGCUAUUCAUCAUCCCUUUGAGGCUCUCGGCUUAUCUGCACCGUGGAAGCAGCUUUACUGCUUUUCUAGUUUGUUUAUUUUCCAGCAAUUAACUCUAAUUGUUUCACAAAGCUGAAUUGAAGCGUUAUUUAGUUUUUUAUUGAAUGCCAGCAUGGGAAAUUAGCGUGGCUCGUUUUUGAGUUAUUAUUGUUCAAUCUACUCUCGAAACACUGAAAAGUGAAGUGUUUCAAGGAUAUUUCCUGUGUUUAUCUUAUUUUUUGGGAUAUCUUCGGAAUAAACUUUGUUUUGUAUGUUAACUGGCAUCUGACUCUUGACACUUUCUC
rnacentral:lncRNA from 1 species